AUUGAACGCUGGCGGCAGGCUUAACACAUGCAAGUCGAGCGGGGAAAGGUAGCUUGCUACCUGACCUAGCGGCGGACGGGUGAGUAAUGCUUAGGAAUCUGCCUAUUAGUGGGGGACAACAUCUCGAAAGGGAUGCUAAUACCGCAUACGUCCUACGGGAGAAAGCAGGGGACCUUCGGGCCUUGCGCUAAUAGAUGAGCCUAAGUCGGAUUAACUAGUUGGUGGGGUAAAGGCCUACCAAGGCGACGAUCUGUAGCGGGUCUGAGAGGAUGAUCCGCCACACUGGGACUGAGACACGGCCCAGACUCCUACGGGAGGCAGCAGUGGGGAAUAUUGGACAAUGGGGGAACCCUGAUCCAGCCAUGCCGCGUGUGUGAAGAAGGCCUUUUGGUUGUAAAGCACUUUAAGCGAGGAGGAGGCUACCGAGAUUAAUACUCUUGGAUAGUGGACGUUACUCGCAGAAUAAGCACCGGCUAACUCUGUGCCAGCCGCCGCAGUAAUAC
rnacentral:rRNA from 1 species